rnacentral:lncRNA from 1 species
CGGUUCAACUUUCGGGGUUAUAUGUCUUAUUGAGCUCGAGUUUCUUAGGGGCUGGCAUCUAGUUAAUUUUAAUUUAGAGGCUUGAGUUAAUGAGGGAUGCUGGUUGGUUAUUUUUGGACUAAGAAAGAGUGAUGAAAUCUUCACUUUAUCUUAUUAAUGGGUGUUGUCCUUAAAUUAAUUUGAGAUGAAUAUGCAUAAUUAAUUUCAAACAAGAGGUUCUA